UACGUAGGGUGCGAGCGUUGUCCGGAAUUAUUGGGCGUAAAGAGCUCGUAGGCGGCUUGUCGCGUCGGAUGUGAAAGCCCGGGGCUUAACUCCGGGUCUGCAUUCGAUACGGGCAGGCUAGAGUUCGGUAGGGGAGAUCGGAAUUCCUGGUGUAGCGGUGGAAUGCGCAGAUAUCAGGAGGAACACCGAUGGCGAAGGCAGAUCUCUGGGCCGUAACUGACGCUGAGGAGCGAAAGCGUGGGGAGCAAAUAGG
rnacentral:rRNA from 1 species